AGCUCCAAUAGCGUAUAUUAAAGUUGUUGCAGUUAAAAAGCUCGUAGUUGGAUUUCUUGGGUAUCAAGCGGGUCGGCUCUAAGAGUCUGUACUAGCUCUGUUAUCCAAUCCUCGUAACAAGCCUUCGGUGAGUUAAUUCCAUUCGAUGGUGAGUUGCGUCAUUUACUGUGAACAAAUUAGAGUGUUUAAAGCAAGCAAAUGCUGUGAAUACAUUAGCAUGGAAUAAUAAGAUAGGACCUAGAGUCUAUUUUGUUGGUUGCGAUUUUAGGUAAUGAUUAAUAGGGAUAGUUGGGGGUAUUCAUAUUCAAUUGUCAGAGGUGAAAUUCUUGGAUUUAUGGAAGAUGAACAACUGCGAAAGCAUUUACCAAGGAUGUUU
rnacentral:rRNA from 1 species